UACAGAGGAUGCAAGCGUUAUCCGGAAUGAUUGGGCGUAAAGCGUCUGUAGGUGGCUUUUUAAGUCCGCCGUCAAAUCCCAGGGCUCAACUCUGGACAGGCGGUGGAAACUACCAAGCUGGAGUACGGUAGGGGCAGAGGGAAUUUCCGGUGAAGCAGUGAAAUGCGUAGAUAUCCGGAAGAACACCAAAGGCGAAGGCAGUGUCCUGGCUCGUAUCUGACGCUCAGGGGCGAAAGCCAGGGGAGCGAACGGG
rnacentral:rRNA from 1 species